UACGUAGGGGGCAAGCGUUGUCCGGAUUUAUUGGGCGUAAAGAGCGUGUAGGCGGCCAUUCAGGUCAGCUGUGAAAACUCGAGGCUCAACCUCGAGACGUCGGUUGAAACCGUUUGGCUAGAGUCCGGAAGAGGAGAGUGGAAUUCCCGGUGUAGCGGUGAAAUGACGCAGAUAUCGGGAAGAACACCCGUGGCGAAGGCGGCUCACUGGUCCGGUACUGAACGCUGAGGUGGCGAA
rnacentral:rRNA from 1 species